GACGAACGCUGGCGGCGUGCUUAACACAUGCAAGUCGAACGGAAAGGCCCUGCUUUUGUGGGGUGCUCGAGUGGCGAACGGGUGAGUAACACGUGAGUAACCUGCCCUUGACUUUGGGAUAACUUCAGGAAACUGGGGCUAAUACCGGAUAGGAGCUCCUGCUGCAUGGUGGGGGUUGGAAAGUUUCGGCGGUUGGGGAUGGACUCGCGGCUUAUCAGCUUGUUGGUGGGGUAGUGGCUUACCAAGGCUUUGACGGGUAGCCGGCCUGAGAGGGUGACCGGCCACAUUGGGACUGAGAUACGGCCCAGACUCCUACGGGAGGCAGCAGUGGGGAAUAUUGCACAAUGGGCGGAAGCCUGAUGCAGCAACGCCGCGUGCGGGAUGACGGCCUUCGGGUUGUAAACCGCUUUCGCCUGUGACGAAGCGUGAGUGACGGUAAUGGGUAAAGAAGCACCGGCUAACUACGUGCCAGCAGCCGCGGUGAUACGUAGGGUGCGAGCGUUGUCCGGAUUUAUUGGGCGUAAAGGGCUCGUAGGUGGUUGAUCGCGUCGGAAGUGUAAUCUUGGGGCUUAACCCUGAGCGUGCUUUCGAUACGGGUUGACUUGAGGAAGGUAGGGGAGAAUGGAAUUCCUGGCGGAGCGGUGGAAUGCGCAGAUAUCAGGAGGAACACCAGUGGCGAAGGCGGUUCUCUGGGCCUUUCCUGACGCUGAGGAGCGAAAGCGUGGGGAGCGAACAGGCUUAGAUACCCUGGUAGUCCACGCUGUAAACGGUGGGUACUAGGUGUGGGGUCCAUUCCACGGGUUCCGUGCCGUAGCUAACGCUUUAAGUACCCCGCCUGGGGAGUACGGCCGCAAGGCUAAAAUUCAAAGGAAUUGACGGGGCCCCGCACAAGCGGCGGAGCAUGCGGAUUAAUUCGAUGCAACGCGUAGAACCUUACCUGGGUUUGACAUGGAUCGGGAGCGCUCAGAGAUGGGUGUGCCUCUUUUGGGGUCGGUUCACAGGUGGUGCAUGGCUGUCGUCAGCUCGUGUCGUGAGAUGUUGGGUUAAGUCCCGCAACGAGCGCAACCCUUGUUCACUGUUGCCAGCACGUUAUGGUGGGGACUCAGUGGAGACCGCCGGGGUCAACUCGGAGGAAGGUGGGGAUGACGUCAAGUCAUCAUGCCCCUUAUGUCCAGGGCUUCACGCAUGCUACAAUGGCUGGUACAGAGAGUGGCGAGCCUGUGAGGGUGAGCGAAUCUCGGAAAGCCGGUCUCAGUUCGGAUUGGGGUCUGCAACUCGACCUCAUGAAGUCGGAGUCGCUAGUAAUCGCAGAUCAGCAACGCUGCGGUGAAUACGUUCCCGGG
rnacentral:rRNA from 1 species